UCAGCCUGCUGAGUGUGUAGACUAAACCUCAACACCAUCUAUCUCGUCUGAUAUGUUUACAACUCUGAAAUAUGCGACAUGGCAAAUGAAAUGAAUGCAUUCUAAUGUGAUAAUUUAUGUGUUGCAGAACCAGCUAAACCUCCUACUACGGCAUGCUGCUCACAAUAUUUCCAGCAUCCUCUACCUGUGGAGAAGAUCGUCUCUUACACUGUGGAUCGCCCUGGAAGGUGCCGCCUUGAUGCAGUCAAGUUCACAAUGGUUAGUGGCAAAGUCUUCUGUGCCGAUCGAGCUGAAAAAUGGGUGCAGGACGCCAUGAAGACAUUCAAAAAUGGAAAAUCAGCAGCCUAACCUGCUUACGACCUGUGAAGUUCUCCAGAACUGCCCUCUCUACAUCCAUGCGAUGUGUUCUGUAGCUCAAAGAAGCUUUAUUUUAUUUUAUUUUAUUUUUAAAUGUAAUUGUGAACCCAUUUUGGGCGGUAAAGAAAAUGUAUAUGCAUAUAUACAGUAUAUAUUGCAAUACAAGGUGGUAUACCGUAUCUCAUGUGAGUGAUAUUUAUGUUAAUAUUUCUAAGAAAUACA